rnacentral:rRNA from 1 species
UACGUAGGGUGCAAGCGUUGUCCGGAAUUAUUGGGCGUAAAGAGCUCGUAGGCGGCUUGUCGCGUCGUCCGUGAAAACCCACAGCUCAACUGUGGGCUUGCGGUCGAUACGGGCAGGCUAGAGUUCGGUAGGGGAGACUGGAAUUCCUGGUGUAGCAGUGAAAUGCGCAGAUAUCAGGAGGAACACCGGUGGCGAAGGCGGGUCUCUGGGCCGUAACUGACGCUGAGGAGCGAAAGCGUGGGUAGCGAACAGG